UAACGAAUAUUCCGCAAUGCGCGAAAGCGUGACGGAGCAAUGCCGCGUGCAGGAUGAAGCGGUUUUGCCGUGUAAACUGCUGUCAGGGAUAAGAAAUACUGAUCUAUCCCAGAGGAAGGGGCGACUAACUCUGUGCCAGCAGUCGCGGUAAUACAGAGGCCCCGAGCGUUAAUCGGAAUCACUGGGCUUAAAGGGUGCGUAGGCGGGUCAGUAAGUGCUUUGUGAAAUCCCACAGCUCAACUGUGGAACC
rnacentral:rRNA from 1 species